AUCUACAGCCAUACCACCUCACGCCCGAUCUUAUCUGGUCUCAGAAGCUAAGCAGGGUCGGGCCUGGUUAGUACUUGGGUGGGAGGUCUCAGAUUCUUCCCACCUGGAUCUUCAUGUCCUCUGUGUC
ensembl:rRNA 5S_rRNA 5S ribosomal RNA